GCUGGAGGUGCUGGGAUUGGAGAUUGAGCAGUGCGUUGUCAGCUGUUUCGGUGACUUCGCCAUGCAGGCAUCCUGCUCACAAGAGGAAGGGAGGAGCCGAGUGACAAGCACCGACGAGAUCAAGCAUGCAUUGUUCACGAGUGCAGGCUAUGGAGGAAGGUGUCUCUAGAUCGAUGGAGCACGCCAAUUCAUCAAUCAUGUAGCAGAACAAGCUGCUUGUAAUUUGGUAAUUAAUCAUCCGUGAGAUUUGUGUUUGCAUAUAUUUGCUUGAUUUGUUUUGAAAUAUAUCUGCAUGAAUCAAGCAUAUGUAGUGUUUAUGUUAGAUUUUUGAAUAGUAGUACUAUCUAAAGUUCAAAUGCUUGUGACAAGAUUGUAAUAGUUGGGUGUGUGUCCGUGAGUGUAAUGCAUGUGGAGUGGAGUAUUGGGAUUUGGCCGACAUGAAAAGA